rnacentral:rRNA from 1 species
UACGAAGGGGGCUAGCGUUGCUCGGAAUGACUGGGCGUAAAGGGCGCGUAGGCGGAUGGCACAGUCAGAUGUGAAAUUCCCGGGCUUAACCUGGGGGCUGCAUUUGAUACGUGUUGUCUUGAGUUCGGAAGAGGGUCGUGGAAUUCCCAGAGUAGAGGUGAAAUUCGUAGAUAUUGGGAAGAACACCGGUGGCGAAGGCGGCGACCUGGUCCGACACUGACGCUGAGGCGCGAAAGCGUGGGGAGCAAACAGG